rnacentral:rRNA from 1 species
GUACACUCCUGCGGGAGGCAGCAGUAGGGAAUCUUCGGCAAUGGGGGCAACCCUGACCGAGCAACGCCGCGUGAGUGAAGAAGGUUUUCGGAUCGUAAAGCUCUGUUGUAAGUCAAGAACGAGUGUGAGAGUGGAAAGUUCACACUGUGACGGUAGCUUACCAGAAAGGGACGGCUAACUACGUGCCAGCAGCCGCGGUAAUACGUAGGUCCCGAGCGUUGUCCGGAUUUAUUGGGCGUAAAGCGAGCGCAGGCGGUUUGAUAAGUCUGAAGUUAAAGGCUGUGGCUCAACCAUAGUUCGCUUUGGAAACUGUCAAACUUGAGUGCAGAAGGGGAGAGUGGAAUUCCAUGUGUAGCGGUGAAAUGCGUAGAUAUAUGGAGGAACACCGGUGGCGAAAGCGGCUCUCUGGUCUGUAACUGACGCUGAGGCUCGAAAGCGUGGGGAGCGAACAGGAUUAGAAACCCUUGUAGUCC